CCAGAGGUGCCGGAGUGGACAAUCGGAAGAGUCUGUAAAACUCUCGCCGCAAGGCUGCGGAGGUUCGAAUCCUCCCCUCUGGA
rnacentral:tRNA from 5 species